rnacentral:ncRNA from 1 species
UCCAAAUCUAUGAUCAAGAGUAGUAAGCUUAUUUGAUGCUUUACAGAGAGUUAGGUAGUGGUGAGAGCCUAAUAGGAUAGAAUAAGUUGAAUGGACUUGAGAGAGGCUUUUUGAACGUUAGGAGUAGGAAAGCCCGGGUUUCCACCGUUAUCAGGAUAGAAUAUCGGAAAUGCUCCUGUAUUCGAAAAGAGAGAGUGACUCGUCACUCUAAUCAGAGGUGGUACCGCGGAUUAUACAAUUCGUCCUCCAG